UGAGACACGGACCAGACUUCCUACGGGAAGGCAGCAGUAAGGAAUAUUGGUCAAUGGGCGCAAGCCUGAACCAGCCAUGCCGCGUGCAGGAAGACGGCCCUACGGGUUGUAAACUGCUUUUGUACCGGAAUAAACCUUUUCACGUGUGAGAAGCUGAAUGUACGGUAAGAAUAAGGAUCGGCUAACUCCGUGCCAGCAGCCGCGGUAAUACGGAGGAUCCAAGCGUUAUCCGGAUUUAUUGGGUUUAAAGGGUGCGUAGGCGGUUCUUUAAGUCAGGGGUGAAAGACGGUAGCUUAACUAUCGCAGUGCCUUUGAUACUGAAGAACUUGAAUACACUUGAGGUAGGCGGAAUGUGACAAGUAGCGGUGAAAUGCAUAGAUAUGUCACAGAACACCAAUUGCGAAGGCAGCUUACUAAAGUGUCAUUGACGCUGAGGCACGAAAGCGUGGGGAUCAAACAGGAUUAGAUACCCUGGUAGUCCACGCCCUAAACGAUGAAUACUCGAUGUUGGCGAUAUACGGUCAGCGUCUAAGCGAAAGCGUUAAGUAUUCCACCUGGGGAGUACGCCCGCAAGGGUGAAACUCAAAGGAAUUGACGGGGGCCCGCACAAGCGGAGGAGCAUGUGGUUUAAUUCGAUGAUACGCGAGGAACCUUACCCGGGCUUGAAAGUUAGUGAAUGAGACAGAGACGUCUCAGUCCUUCGGGACACGAAACUAGGUGCUGCAUGGCUGUCGUCAGCUCGUGCCGUGAGGUGUUGGGUUAAGUCCCGCAACGAGCGCAACCCCUGUGAAUAGUUGCCAGCACGUAAUGGUGGGGACUCUAUUCAGACUGCCUAUGCAAAUAGAGAGGAAGGAGGGGACGACGUCAAGUCAUCAUGGCCCUUACGUCCGGGGCUACACACGUGCUACAAUGGAUGGUACAGCGGGCAGCUACCUGGCAACAGGAUGCCAAUCUCGUAAAGCCAUUCACAGUUCGGAUCGGGGUCUGCAACUCGACCCCGUGAAGUUGGAUUCGCUAGUAAUCGCGUAUCAGCAAUGACGCGGUGAAUACGUUCCCGGGCCUUGUACACACCGCCCGUCAAGCCAUGGAAGCUGGAAGUGCCUGAAGUGCGUAACCGUAAGGAGCGUC
rnacentral:rRNA from 1 species